CACCGCGGUUAUACGAGAAACCCGAGUUGAUAGCCACCGGCGUAAAGGGUGGUUAAGACAACCUAAUAACUAAAGCCGAACCCCCUCAAAGCUGUUAUACGCAUUACCCCUGAGGGCGGGAAGUUCAACCACGAAAGUGGCUUUAAUAUUAUCUGAGCCCACGAAAGCUAGGGCA
rnacentral:rRNA from 1 species